rnacentral:misc_RNA from 1 species
UGUGGGAGCGAGCCUGCUCGCGAUAGCGGUGUGUCAGGAACCUGUGCAUUAACUGACACACCACUAUCGCGAGCAGGCUCGCUCCCACA